rnacentral:lncRNA from 1 species
AGAAAACUAGGGUCAAGCACAAUACUAAUCCAUUAAACAUUACAUGUCCACAACUAUUCUAUUACAUCAGCUACACCAGCCACUAAGCUGACUCCCCGUGCUAUCUCUGAUCCUGUAAACCUGGGGUUAAGGGAAAGGGAUAAACUACUAGAGUCUAGUGAGCAGAACCACAAAAACAGUUUAAUAAACAUAUGAUCAUAUAAAAUGCGUCACAGCACAAACAAAUCACAACAAGAUGGACUUGUCACCAGUAACCCUCUACAUAUUCCAAAU